GUGGUCUUACGUGCUCCCAACUUGCGCCGUUACAGUCCAUAAUGAAUGCGGCAGCGAGGCUCAUCUUCCUGUCCGCCCGCACCUCCCAUGCCUCACCCUUCUGUCAGUCCCUACAUUGGCUUCCUAUAAAAUAUAGAGCUCAAUUUAAAAUUCUGGUUCUUGCUUUCAAAUCGCUACAUAAUGCUGCUCCCACCUAUCUAUCCUCCCUUAUACACAAGUAUGUC
rnacentral:lncRNA from 1 species